GGCUCCCUUGUUCAAUGGAUAGAAUUUCAGAUUCCGGUUCUGACAAUAUGGGUUCGAAUCCCGUGGGAGUCACAA
rnacentral:tRNA from 1 species